rnacentral:rRNA from 1 species
GAUGAACGCUAGCGGCAGGCCUAAUACAUGCAAGUCGAACGGUGUAGCAAUACACAGUGGCGCACGGGUGCGUAACACGUAUGCAACCUACCUUACAUUGGGGGAUAGCCUUUCGAAAGGGAGAUUAAUACCGCAUAAGACAGUAACUAGGCAUCUAGUAGCUGUUAAAGAUUUAUCGAUGUAAGCUGGGCAUGCGUCCAAUUAGUUAGUUGGCGAGGUAAUGGCUCACCAAGACGAUGAUUGGUAGGGGAACUGAGAGGUCAAUCCCCCACACUGGCACUGAGAUACGGGCCAGACUCCUACGGGAGGCAGCAGUAGGGAAUAUUGGGCAAUGGGCGCAAGCCUGACCCAGCCAUGCCGCGUGCAGGAAGAAGGCGUUAUGCGUUGUAAACUGCUUUUAUACAGGAAGAAACGACCCUUGCGAGGGGCAUUGACGGUACUGUAUGAAUAAGCACCGGCUAACUCCGUGCCAGCCGCCGCAGUAAGAC